CCUUGGGAUCUGCCUGCCUUGGCCUCCCAAAGUGCUGGGAUUACAGGCGUGAGCCACUGCACCUGGCAUAAUUUUGGCUACUCUUAAUCAACCCCAGAAGGUUUAAUAAGAACUUUGAUUAGCUACUUUCUAGCUUCAUGAAUUUACCAAGCUAUUCCUGGUUUUGCACCUUUAAGAAACUCAUUUUUUAAAUCUGAUGAAUAUAUGUCCAUAAGAAGCUUUACUUGGUUAAAAUUAAAUACAUACAAAAUUGACAGAAAAAUUAUUUUGUCAAAGAAAAAUGAACGAAGAGUAGUGUCAUUUUUCAUUGUCACAUUCAUUUCUCUAAGAAAUGGAUCUGUCCUUCAACAUCUCCUCCUAGCCCAUACUGUUUGAAUAUAGAGGGCUCUUGGGCCAUGGUCCGGGGAUUAUUUAUAAUCAGCAACAAGGGGUUACAGUGUCAUGGCUUACAAUUUGGUGGGGUGGGACCAGGGACUAGUUGGAGUUUUUUGUUUUGGUCGUCAUAAUUUAUUUGAAGCAGGGAGCUUGGCUCUCCACCCUUUGUACUUAUUAGUCCACCAAACAUCUGCCCAGUCACCACUGGGACUUUUAACACUCCAUACUUAUACAUGCUUGAUUUUUUGUGGUAUAGACAUAGACACUUAUCAACAUGGGCUAGCUUCUUUUGACCUUGCUCAUCUCCAUACGGGAUGACUGAACAGGCAUCAAACUGAAGGGUUAAAAAAUGACUAGCCUGAGUUACACUGAUGACAAGAUGACCUUCUGUUGAAAAGAAAAAAGAGAAUAAAUAAGUGAUUAUUAAGCUCUUUUUAGAGUUAAUUUGGUGGGGGUGGGCUGUGGAGUGACAGUUCAUGAUUCUGGAGGUGGCGGCACCUUCUUGACUCGGGUGUGAUGAGUCCAUCCUCUUUCUGUUGUCCAGACUGCAGUCUCAGUACAUAGGAGCACUAGGUAGGGUCCUUCCCAGGCUGGUUCGAGCUUCCUUUUCUUCUACCCUUGGAUGAGAACAUGGUCUCAAGGCCAAUGCUGAUGUUCUGGAAACUCCAGGGGUGAUGCCUGUGCUAGGAGACCUUUAGUCCCAAGGGAAAAGAAGGUAGAGCCUAGACCAAGUAUAUAAUUUUUGAGGAAAUGAUCCUUUGUUUCAAACAUAGGGAUGUCAGCAAUGGAGUGUAAGUAGGGCAUUCCAUAGAGCGUUUCCUCAGGUGACAGGCCAAUAUCUUUCCAAGGGGCAGUCCGGAUUCUUAACCAAGCAAUAGGAGUAUAUUUAGUCCAUGGCAAUCGAGUUUCUAAAACUAAGUUAAGUGGUUUAUUAGAGUCUGAUUCAUCCACUCUACUCUUCCUGUGGAGGAUGGAUGCCAAGGAGUAUGGUAUUCCCAAUGUAUAUCUAGUACCUGUGCUAACUUCUUAAUGACAUGCACAGUGAAAUGGGUUGCAGUAUCUGAAUCAGUAUUUUCUAUUAGUUCAAAUCUGGGUAUGAUGUUUUCAAUUAGCGCUUUAACUACAUUACUGGAGGUUGCACGUGAGAAUGGGAUUGCCUCUACCCAGUGGGUAAAAUGGUCUAUUAUUACUAAUAAGUAUAACUACCAAUUGGAGGCAUUUCAGUGUAAUUGAUCUGAACACUUUGAAAUGGUCUCAGUGCUGGAUUUCUUCCACCAAGGCGCAAUUUCCUUAGAUCCUGCUUAUUAGCUUUUUUUACAUGUUAAGCAACUAUCUAUAACUUGUUUGGCCAGGGUGUAAAUUCUUAUACACCCAUAAACCCGGAGAACUGCAUUGCACAUUGCUUGGGGUCCCCAAUGGGUCCCUUGAUGUAAUUGAGACAAGACUUCCCUCAUGAGAGGUUUUGACAACAUUUCCCUUUGAUCUGAUAAUAUCCAUUUCCUAUCCGCAUUUUCUUUAGCUCCUAUUUUUAUCAACGUCUUUUGUUCAAUGGAAGAGAAAACGGGUUACAGUAGGAGGAGGGCAUGGAGUUAAAUGGAAGAAAUGGCAACUUGUUUUGCUAUUUUAUUGUAACCGACUGAGUUAUAGAGAGAAUGCCACAGUCUGAGACUAAUUCAGUGAUCCUUUAUUGCCAGCAACCGAGAGACGGCUAGAGCUCAAAAUUCUCUCAGCCCCGAAGAAGGGGCUACACAUCUUUUUACACCUUGGUCUAAAGAGGGGAGGAGGAGUGUAGCUGAAGCAAUUUUUUACAGAAGCAGAACAGGCAAAAAAGUUGAAAGAUAAAUGGUUACAGAAACAGUAAUAAGAAAAUAAACAGUUCCAGGUGCAGGGGCUUAAAUUAUCACAAAGUGAUAAACGCAAAGGCUUUGGGCACCGUCAACCGAGUGCGUUCCCAGGAGCUGCUGGUACAGCUUGCCUCAGUAUCUUAUCAGUAAGCGCAUUCUUGGAUGUGCUUGGAGUCAGCUUGCACCAGUUAUGUCCUUAAGGGAGGGGGACAAGGGGCUGCAAGUGAAGAAACCAAAAUGGAGUCUGUCCAGCUCUCUCAGCUAAGAGAGAGUCAAUCAGGUUAAAAGAAGUUAGGGUAUCACAUUUCCCACUCGUGUUUGGGGGAAUCAGAUCAUUGAUUCCUCGGUUAUAACAAGGGUGUUAUAUUGGGUUCUAAGAUACAUAAGAUUGACAGAAGCUAUGCGUUGCUUUACAAAAUUAAGAAACCAAUUUAAUAUACAAGGCCUGAAGACUAACCCUAACAAGAGGAGGAGAAGGGGGUCCCGCCAACCCAGUAAUUAGAGUAGUUAGCCAGGGAUUCCAGUUAAACAUGCUUUGGUACUUUGGUACUCCAGGAAUGAGAAAGGUGGUGUUACUUUCUUGUUCCUUCUGGCAUCUAUCUAGAUUUUCUCGAACUCUUUGAAGAGUAUUUUUUAUGACUCCAGACUGAUUGGCAUAGAAACAACAACUUUCUUCUAGAGCUGUGCAUAAACCUCCUUGGGAGAUAAAUAGCAGAUCUAAGCCUCGGCGGUUUUGAAGAACUACUUCAGCUAGAGACUCUACCUGGGCAUGUAGUAUAUUUAUGGCUGAUUGGAGAUUGCUUAAAUCAGCAUCUACCUGUUGAGAUAGUGAUAUUAGUCCAGUUUCUCCUUGAAUCAGGGCAGUCGUGCCAAUAGCUGCUGACGUAGCUAUGCUAAGGCCAGCUAGAAGGGGUACAAGGAGUAGGGCAGCUCGGUGAAACCUGAAAUGCAAUUCAGGGGGAGCAAUGAGAAGUUGUCCUUCUGGCCCACUGUACAUGUAGAUCUGGGGGAGUACAUGAAUCAACAUGCAUAGGAGAGGUCCAGGUUCAGUCCCAUUGAUGCAGCGAGUGAGGCCUGAAAUGCAGGCCAACCAGGUAUUUUUGGGUGCCUGGUAGGAGACUGAGGGGUUUAAGGAAGUAAGGAGAGACUCACUACAAGUAGCCUGAAAGGGAGAAGCAGGUAAGUUAUACCUUGCGCUAAUUAGACAGAAGGCAUUCCCUGACACAUCUCCUAGUGUAAGGGCAUGGGGGCACGUAUGACAAGAAAGAGAGUCCAUUUUGAGCAUGGCUUCUACUCCUAAUCCAACAUAAUAUGGGGGUUUGGCCUUUCGGCACAACCAGCAAUCUCAGGCUAGUUUAGGCUUGGUGAGAUUAAGGAGGUGAUGUAUCCCGUCCAAAAUGGACAUCGGGCUGGGUUGGAGGUAUUGUCAUUGCAGCUGGGGUCUCAGAACCAGGAAUGGCAGUGGGACAGUUAAAUCGACUCUCUCUGGGUGUUUUUGGAACAUAGGGUCACCUAAAUCAGUUAAAGUUCUGAUUGGCUUCAUGGGACCAGGAAUUUUUUCUGGAUGGUGAACAUAGUUCCAACAUCAAAUCCUGAAAUAUAAAGCCUUAAUCCCUAUGACAUGCUGUAAUACCAUUGAGUUAAACUAGGGUUACGGAGAGUUAUAGUAAGAGGAUUACAAUUUCCUAUAGUACACGGCUUAGGAUGGGAAGCACAAGCUAUGGAAAGGGUUGAGGAUCAGGUUCAUCCUCCAGAGUAAGUGGCCAAGGUUACACACAUGCAGUAAGGGCAGAAAAACUGGUAAGAAUCUCGACAACUAGAGUCAGGGCGAUUUCCAGGACAAAGGUAAAAGUCAACGCUCUGGAGCCUUUUUUCUGCACCCUUAGAACUUCCACAUCCAGUUUGGCUUCUGGUGUGUCCGAACCCUGCAGCAAGGUCAGCGUUCCCUGCUCUCAUGAUCGGCAGAUUGCAUUGCUCUUCAAGGGUAUGGGCAGGGUCGGGGAACAAAGCACAUAAACCGACUACAAAAGAGACUUCCUUGGAGGGUCCCACCUUCCAAGUGGUGUUUGCAAACACACAUCCUGUCAUGAAGGAAGUGAGGAGAAAAGAGUAGGAAGGGGCAGAGGACAUAACAGGUGGAAACAGACAGAAGAGGUAAAUAAAAAGAAUUAAUUCGAUAGCUUUACUCAACUUAGGCGCAGUUUUAAGGGGCCUGGCCUAGGCUUGGGGACCCAUUUUUUUUGCUGGGCUUUGUUGGCCUUUUUGAUGCGAGAAUGAUGAAUCCAAGCAGGAGUGCCGUCCACCUUCAGAGCUGUUGGUGUGGUGAGGAUGACAGUAUGAGGUCCUUUCCAGGCAGGAGUCAGUCCUUUUUUCUGGAACUUUUUAACAUACACUAGGUCACCCAGCUGGAAAGAGUGGCAGGGCCCAGUCUGGUCAGGAACUGGGCUGGGGUGUGCUCCCCUGACAAGCAGCUGGAUGAUGUCUUGUACCCGUUGGAGAGACUGCAGGUACUGUAACAAGUUAGCUUGUGAGAUUUCUGCUAAAUGGGUAUCCUUUAGCUUAGGCAAGAUAGGCGGAGCCCUUCCAUACAUGAUUUCAAAAGGUGAAAACCCAGCCUGGUAAGGGGUGCAUCUUACUCUAAGAAGGGCUAAAGGAAGGAGCUUUACCUAGUUUUCACUGGUUUCUAGGAUUAAUUUUGCAAGAGUACUUUUUAGGAUGGGGUUCAUGCAUUCUACUUGUCCAGAGCUCUGGGGUCGAUAGGCACAAUGGAGUUUCCAUUGAAUGUUUAAUGCCUUGCUGACCGACUGAGCUAUGGACGAGGUGAAGGCUGGUCCAUUAUCAGACCUUAUUACAACAGGCAGUCCAUGUUGAGGGAUGAUUUCAUUGAGUAAAAGCUUAACUACCGUGGUAGCAGUUUCGUUUUUGGUGGCAAAUGCCUCAGUCCAUCCAGAAAAGGUGUCUACUAGCACCAGGAGGUAUUUAUACCCUGCCAAGUGUGGUUUUACCUCUGUAAAGUCAAUUUCCCACCUUCCUCCUGGCAAGCCUCCCUGGAGGCGGUGGCCUGGGCUGGGCUUAGGACCUUGCUUGGUGUUUACUUGGGCACAAGCCGUUUACUGGAGAGCUGCUUGGUUAGUUAAGUCCUGAAGGUGGGGGAUCUUGAAAUGGCUCCUUAGAAGCUGGGCCAGUUUUACUCCUCCUAAAUGGGUGGUAGAAUGUAGAUGAUUGAUAAAAGUUUCCCCAAGGGCUUGGGGCAUGAAGAUUCUGGAAUCAGGAAGAAUUCACCAACCUUCCUGAUUUUUACUGGCUUGAAGAUCCGAAGCUUGUUUUUCUUCCUCUGGGGAGUAUUCUGGGUAGUCUGCCCAGUCAGUUGUGGAAAGGACACAGAGGGCAGCAGGGUUAAAGGCACGACCAGGAGCUGAGCUGCCUCUCAAGCUGCAGAGUCUGCUCUUUGGUUACCACGAGCAAUGGCCAUGUCUUCUCUUUGAUGUCCUUUGCAGUGAAUUGCAGCCACCUGUUGAGGGAGCCAAACAGCUUCAAGCAGGGCUAAAAUUUCUUCUUUGUUGUUGACACUCUUUCCUGCUGAGGUAGGAAAUGCUGGGAAGAAAAAGCUGGGCCUUCUUGGCUGGGACCUGAUACCCGAAUUCCUGAAGGAGGUAAAGUAGGUCCGUAGUAUGUUGCAGGCAGCUGUCAGUAGUUUCAGUAGCCAAUAACAGGUCGUCUACAUACUGGAGAAGAGUGCAGUUAGGGUGACUGGCUCAGAAUGGUAAAAGAUCCUGUUGGAGGGCUUCCCUAAAAAGGGUGGGGGAAUUUUUAAAACUUCGGGGUAACCAAGUCCAGGUUAAUUGGGUGGUGUCUACCGAGCCAGGAUAUGUCUGUUCAAAAGCAAAGAUAGGUUGACUUUUGGGGCCAGAGGAAUAGCAAAAAAAAGCAUCCUUGAAGUCAAGGACAGUGUACACCAUAUGUUCUGGUGGGAGCAGGCUGAGUAAAGUAUAAGGGUUAGAGACAGUUGGAUGGACAGUGACUGUCUGCUUGUUACCUUCCUGCAAGUCCUGUACAGGCUGGUAAUCAUUUGUUCCGGGUUUCUGGACCGGCAAAAAUGGAAUAUUCCAGGCGAUCUCACAUGGUGUGAGUAUACCAGCUUGUAAUAGUUGCUGAAUAUGAGGAUUAAUUCCCUCUAUAGCCCACAGAAUCAUAGGAUAUUGUUUGACCUGGACCGGCAGGGUGGUGGCCAGGAGUUCUACAACAGCUGGCAGAUGGUGGUUUGCCAGUCCUGGGAGGUAUGAGGAAACAGAGUCUGUAAAGCCAGUAGGAGAGGAUUACUUUUAUUCUCCGGCAGUUGUGAGGGUGAAACUAAGAGAUAUUCCUCUGACCGAAGGGUGGUUAGCAGGAGCUGAGCAGUAGGGGGCAUUGUGUCCCCUAACAUGAGAUAUGGUCCCUCUCUUCAGAGGUGAAAAGGGAUGAAAGGAGUUGCUGACACUCAUCCCAGAGUGUCCAGAGUUUGCCUUUUUUAAGGCGGACCCCGUAAUCAUCUGAGAAGCCUAGAGAGAAAUUCUGCAACAUACACUGGAGAGGACUCCAAUCUUUAUGGGGCCGGGAAGAAGAGUUUACUAUUCUGGAGGCAAUUAACAAGGUUUGAACAAAAAUAUUAAACCCAGCAUGGACAAAGAUAUUCACGGCCUGGGAGGCUAUGGUAUCAGAAGAACAGAAGUAUUAUAGCUAGAAGAAGUAGGAAAACAACUAUAGCCAAUAUUUCUUGCCACAUAAGGUCUGUCUCCUCAAGCUUCGAGAUCUAUGGAGAGGAUAAGAGGUGGGUCCAAGGGAUCCUCAGCCAGUGGGACUUAGGUGACCCCCCCUUCUUGACUUAUAUCCCAAAUAACUUUGGUGUCUCCACGACUCGAAAGCAAAAUGUUCAAACUCGGUCCUUUCCUUCACGGGUUUAAGGAGGGAGAACACAGCCAAGUCUUAGAGACGCUGGACUUGCUGCAACACAGGAAAAUGAGAUGUGCAGGGUAAGGGAUGGGGAUGAGGAGGAAAGGGGCCACUUGGAUUUCCCUAAAGGUUGGAGAGUAGCCAAAAGAGGUAAAAUAAGAGUCCAGACAGAGUAGAGCAGUAUGGGUGUAGGUUUCUCUGCACAGUGCCUUAUUUAAGGGCAUGGGAAAAGUUAUGGGAUGACAGAAAAGGUGAGUAAGGAGGUCAGCAGGGUGGCUAUUUUGGAUCCACCACUGGUCUAAGGAGAAGGUGGACCAGUCGUUGGGGCGUGGGGUAUGGCAAUCCAAACGCCAGCAAUCUUUAUGGUGCCAGAAAUCCUAAACGGGUGAAUGUCUUCCACACCCUUCCCCAUAACAACACCUAAUUUGUUUCUGACAGGAAAGGCAGGACUGGGAUGGCCAGCCCAACCGACUAAUGAGGAAUUUGACCUCCUGGGAUAGAAAAUCUGUACUAAGGACCUUGAAGAAGUCCUUGCCCAGUCAUUUUGGGCAGUAUCGACGAUCCGACAUAUGAAAUUUAGACAGACACUAAACAGGACAAUAGGCACUGGGGUAUAUAAACAAGCAUGGCAAUUUUUAUAGACAGACAAGGGGAGGGGGUCCCGUGAUGGGAUCAGUCAGAUGCCCUCCUGGCUGCUCCCCUUUCGGGGACUUAGGCUCCUCUUGGCAUUGGCAGGCUGGUAUAAACCCCUGGCUUGGAUCGAGCUAUGCCUGAUGCCGCCCUAAGCCUUAUGAGGUCACCACGGAACCACAGGUGAGGGCCUUCUCGAAUUCCCUAGCUUUCACCCUGGAGCUACAAACUGGAAAUUCAAGCGCAAGCCCUUGAACUCCACAUUCACUCACUCACUCACUCACUCAGAGUUUAUUACAAUUUUUAUACCCAUUCUAAAACAGAGAUCUCCCGGAGACCUGAAUGAGAGAGGGAGAAGAGAUAGAGAGAGAGAGAGACUAGACUUAACAGAGAAUCCUGACAGAAACCAGGACUCUGUCCUCCAGUGUCCUGGAGCAUGGACAGAGUCUGAGGGAGGACCUUCGUCAGGGCCGUUUCCCUCCCAGAGAGACAGAGUCAGAUCUGACUUACCUUCCCGGGACUAGAGACUGAGGACUCAGGAGUUGAAUUUGGCUGGGCGCACCGGCAGUCGAUCCGUUCCCCUCCAGAAGACAGUGGCCUGUGGAGCCCUGGAACGUCUUCAGGUGGCCCUGUAAGCCAGCUGUCUGUCUGGGGAAGCCCGGAAUGAGUCAGGUCUUCACCCGGUGGCGAAUCUCUCUGGGGCUUCCAAAUGUCGUAACCGAGCAAGUCAUAGAGAGAAUGCCACACUCUGAGACUAAUUCAGGAGUCCUUUAUUGCUGGCGACUGAGAAAGAGCUAGAGCUUGAAAUUCUCUCGGUCCGGAAGAAGAGGCUAGAGUUCUUUUUAUACCUUGGCCUAAAGAGGGGAGGGGGAGUCUAGCUGAAGCAAUUUUUUACAGAAGCAGAACAGGAAAAAAUUAAAAGAUAAAUGGUUACAGAAACAGUUACAGGAAAAUAAACAGUUCCAGGUGCAGGGGCUUAAAGUAUCCCAAAGUGAUAAAAGCAGGGGCUUUGGAUACCACCAACCAAGUGUGCUCCCAGGAGCUGCUGGUACAGCUUGCCUCAGUAUCUUAUCAAUAAGCGCAUUCUUGGAUGUGCUUGGAGUCAGCUUGCACCAGUUAUGUCCUUAAGGAGGGGGACAAGGGGCUGCAAGCGAAGAAACCAAGCUAAGACUCUCUCAGCUAUUGACUCUCUCGAUAUUGACUCUCAAUUGAGUCUCCCAAGCUAUUGACUCUCUCAGCUAAGAAAGAGUCAAUCAGGAUAAAACAAGAUAGGGUAUCACAAUUUGAUCUGCAAGAUUAUUUCCUGGACUUGUGAAAGGCGAGUCGUUUUGGUGCCCUGGGACAUGUACAAUAGCUAUCUCUUCUGGCAAUUGGAGAUUGUUGAGGACACGAGCAUCAGUUCUCUAUGAACUAAAUCUUGGCCUCUACUAUUGAUAAGAGCCCUCUCCAUCCAAAUUUUCCCAAAUGUGUGUGCCUCCCCAGAGGGAUACUUAGAGUCAGUAUAGAUAGAUUUUCUUGGUUUUGUAAAUGUCCUAAAGCUUGGCUGAGUGCAAACAGUUCACACCCUUGGACAGACCAAUUAUUAGACCCCCUUCCUGAUUUUACUUUUUUAACAGUCUUUCCAUUAAUCACUGAAUACCUAUUAUGUCUCUUUCUUUUAAUCACCUGGGAGGUUCCAUCUAUGAAUAAGUGCCACCCUGUCUUGAAGGGAGUUUUUCCUAAGUCUGGUUGAACUUUCGUAUGGUAAUUAAUUCGAUUUAAACACGCGUGCUCUCUCGUUUUACGUUUGGAUCCCCCGUUAAAGAGCCUGCUGAAUAAAGUGAAUUAUUAGUACUUAAUAUUAAAUCACCUUUUUCCCAGAAAGAUAGCCUCAUAUUUUAAAAUUUUUGAGUUGGUAAUCUCCCUCCUUGCGUUUUGAUUUAAUAUAGUUUUAACUUGGUGGGUUGUGGCCUGAAGCGGCUGGGGAGUAACUUGAAACCUCAGCUGAAGGGACAGCACAGGCUGGGGCGUGGCCUGAAACAGCUGGGGAGUAACCUGAAACCACAGCCGGAGGGACCUGAGAGGGGAACCAAAGGGGCAGGAUUGGGGGCGCUGAAGGAAGGAAGGUGAUUUAGAGGAUCCCAUGUCUUGGUAGGUAUGGGUUGUCUAGGCAUGGGAACUCUUUCCUUUUUAGAAAGGUUGGUUUCUGAUUUUCUCCCUCCAGAGUCUAAAGGGUAAAGGAGAACUGGUCCCUGCCGCCAGCAGAGGGCGUAAUCGAUUUUUCCUGGGACACAGGGCUCUUACUGUUAACAUAUUUGAUUAACAGCUGACAAAUUCGCUCUUCAUUAGACUUAAAUUUUGGCCAGAAAAGUGAGGGCUUAAGGAUGGGUUCUCGAACUUAAAUAAAACAACAAUAUUCUAUCAUCUGCUGUUUUUGUUUAUACUUGGUUCUCUUAUUAUUUUUUCAAUACUUUAGCAUAAGCCCCAAGGGGCUAUCAGAAGGAAAUUCAUCACUCUCUAGACUCUUUAGUUUUCCUGUCUUACUUGAAACGUUCCCCAUCUUAGGGAUUAUGGGGAGGAGGCCCAACCCCUCCUGUGAGAUUUCUACCCUCCCCCUUCCUGGAGGCUUACUGAGGCUUUGGGGAAAGGCUCCAACCCAACCUGUUUGGAUUUCUACCCUCCCCCUUCCUCUUUGUCUACUCUGUCUGUUCCUGACUCUAGUUGACAGAUGGCAGCAUGAGGCCAUAGAGAAGACUCACUCACUCCACAUAACCACCAUACUAAGUCCCAUUCAUACACUGUCAGCCUCCAGCUUAUCCCAACCACCUGGGAAAUACUUUGUCACCUUCGCCAAGUCUCCUACCUUAUUCCAUGCACAAGAAUUUCCUGGUCCUCUUAUUGUUGCGGUCUUGCAAGCUUCUCCUCCCCGCUUUGCUGAGAUCCAGACUUAUUUGUCACAAAGCGGGGGGGGGGCCCUGAUCUCCCUCAACCUAGGGGCACGGUAACUAGACAGUAGGAUGCGUCCCCUCCGGGUGGGGUGACCGAAGGCCCCCUUCCCAAAGGAGAAGAUUCGAGCCCCAAAGUUGGGCUCCAGAACUGUUAGGAAUAACGCUCAAAAUCUUAAGGAAAUUGAACACUUGAACAAAGGAUUCUUAGCAAAGCAAUUUUACUUCUGCGCAGAGAGGUGCCUCCUUGUCCAGUCGCCAUGAGAGCACACCUGAAAAAGGGGCACGAGAGCCUUUACUCCUGACACAAGUACUGCCCCUGUACCCUUUCUCCAUUGGCCAGGGUCAGGUCGUACAAUCUAAACUAAUCCUGGUUGGCUAAACAUUGGAUUUUUUUUAGAUAAGGUGGGCACGUAAAAAAGGCAGAGAAUAAAGGGGAAGGGGUGUCUGUAAUGAGCUAAAAAGUUAGUCCUCUUUCCAAAUAAGGAAAGGAAUGUGAGCAGGUACAGAUACCACCUGGUACUGUGGCAUGCCUGGGCAUGUAACAAAGGAAAAAAGAGAAAAAAGGAGAAAAAGGAAAAAAGGUGGAGGGAUUA
rnacentral:lncRNA from 1 species